rnacentral:lncRNA from 1 species
GGGGAGAGCUCGAGGAGGAGGGCGGUGAGGGAGAGGAAUGGCGGAGGGGAGGGAGUGGGAAAGAGGGAGGAGGAGAGGGAGGUCUCGGUGGCGGAAAAGACGUGGUUGAAAUGGAGGAAGUCGGUCAACCGGCAGACGAGGCGGUGGAUGAUGGGAACAUCCUGGUUGUCGGCCAGCCGAAUCCGAGCCCAGACGAAGGGUUGCUCCGGCGAAGUCAAGGCGGCCGGAGAGAUUGGGUUGGU